UCUGCCAUGUGGUCGCAUCUCAUGGCUGCGUUCCGAUCGCAGCCCAUGUACUCUUUUGUCUGUCGUAUUUAUUUGUGAAUUUUAUUCGAUGUGCUCAGAAUUUAUGCAAAAAAAGUGAUUAUAUAAUUACGAUUUCUGAUAUCAUCGUACAUGUGCGCAUAUUGUAAAAUUCUAAUAUGACUGAUAAACCUAGUAAACGUCGUAGAGCAAGAUAUGCUAGACAGGAAGUAAUGCAGAAGAUUAGAGUGGUUGAAUUGGGCUUUAAAGCGAAGAGAAUUCCGGGGCAUAUUAAUUUACAAUUGCUUAAUGAUAGUGACAGUAGUAGUACAUCUAGUGUUAAUAUUAAUCGAUGUGAGAAUAGAAAUGACAAUAUUUUUUGUAUUAACACAGAUAACUCUAAUGGAGUUGAUAGUAAUAUAAGUAGUAAUAAUUCUGAUAGGCUUGAAUUUGAAAUAGACAACAAUAAUAUUCACAGUAGCGAUGAUAAUGAACAUGAAGUAUUAAGUAGUGAUGGUAAAAUUUUCGAAAAAAAUCUUGAAAAUCAAAAUGAUUUUCUUCAGAAUGACGAUCAAAAGCAAUUGUAUCUAUUAACAAAUUUACAAGAAUGGGCAGUGAAAGGUGUAAGCUUCGUUAAAGUAGAUAGUCUUCUGAAAAUAAUCGAUCAAGUGAUAACACUACUGCUGCUGCCAUAAAUCAAAUUAAGACAGAGUUGCUUCAAGAAAUAAGUAGCAAACUCGACUUUGUAAUAAUGAACAGAACAAAAAUUCUUACUUAUUUAUUACCAGAAGAAAGUCUUCUUUUAAAAGACCAGAUAACUUUCCAGCGCUUCCUCUAAACACAAUUGACGAAUAUGACAAAUUUGAAGUUUUUUAAUAAUGGUACAAGUUUCUCAACAGCGGUAUGUUUAAAGUACAAUACUUUGCGGGUCGCACGAUCAGUCAAGGUAAUGACUGGCAAAGUGCUGUAUAUUUGGUAUCAAAAUUACUAAUAAGUAAUAAAUUGGCAAGAGCAAUAAGCUGGGGAGGUACUAAGGACACUAAGAUCGCAUUAGCAAAUAGUAAAAUUAUAGAGGCUGUUUACUGCGCUGUUCUGAAAAACCAACCAAAAAGUGACCUAAAAACAGUAAAGUCAAAAAUACAAAGAUGGCUUUACACAGGAAAUCAAAAAAAAAUUUAAUUACUUUAAAACAUUUUUUUAGUCAUGGAAAAACUACAAAAAGUAUUGCCUAUAGACCGAUUGUCUACUAAUGCUUUUGCACACGAAUGAAAAAUGAAGAGACGGACGUACGUUUGCACACAUAACAGUUUUGCGCACAAAUCGUAUUGCACACAAAAAUUAUUGCCUACCGAUUGAUUGUCUACAAGCUCUAUUGCGCACAAAUAACAAAAUAAGAGAUGGAAGACCCCGAUAAAAUUCCGAAGAGUACUCACCCCCGAUUUUUUGAAACUCAGUAUUCUUACGUAUUUUGAUAUAUGUACAUAAUUUUAAUUCUUGAAUUUCCAUUAUGUGCAUAAUUUUGAUUCGUUGAAUUUCUAUUGUGUACAUAAUAUUUUUAUUCUUAAAUUUCUAUUAUGUUCAUCAUUUAA